GUACCUGUUGACCUCAUCUGGGCUGCAGUUGGUGACUGCUCGAAGGGGUGGGAGGAACAGUAUAAAGUCCUGUCCCCUUCCUGCCUUCAAGGGCACCCCUGAAGGACCAUAUCCACUGUGGACCCCCUUGGGAUCAGCCGAGUGACUCGAAGGAAUUGGGUCUUGAGACACAGCCGAGCCUGUGAGCGCUGACCUGUGUAAAGAAGACACCAGAAUGAGAUGUCUCCACACACAGAGAGCUGCAGCCGAUGCCGGCCGGUGACUUGGGACUUGGAUGCUUAACAGGAGGCUCCCCCUCUCUUGGGAGGUAGAGAGCAGUGAGGAAGGGGACUCAGCCUCCAUGCCUCCCGCCAGCCCAGCUGCGCCCGAAUCACCUCCCUCCUGAAAGGAUGUCAGCCUCUGCUUGGACACCGUGGAGACAGGGCCCUCCUUGUGCUUCAGAAGCAUCAACGUGUCAGAAAAUCAUCUUCACGCCAAGUCUGGAAAAAAUGGCUUUGAGGUUGUGCACACAAAGGAAGGAGGGAGAGCCCCAGGUGUCGCGGAGGACCAUGCGGCUGACAGAGCCAGCAGGGCGGUGGCGUGUGAGCCGUGCUCUGGAUAUAUAAGGAUCUGACGCUGCUGGCAAUGUCUGAGCUCUAUGCUCGCCCAUCUGUCGGCUGCUAUCAUCACCGGGUGGGAUUAGCGGAGAUCCACUCUUUCAUAUUUAAAUCUUCACAAGAGAAUGAAUCACUUUUAUAAUAAAAGAAAAAGACCGUCCAUGUUGUUAAUGUGCACACAGCAAGUUGGAAGGCCGGGGAGGGCAGCGGGUGGGGACGCUGACCCAGGCGCCCCCCUGCUGCCUGGAACAGCCCCAGGCCUGCUCCACUGUCCCCUCGGGGUUCCCUGUCGAAGAGGCCAAAGAGUGGAGGGGCUGGUGCCUAGAGGGUGUGGAGCUGCAGGUGCACAGUACAGCUGGCACCUGGCAGAGGUGGUUCAUUAUCAAGCAAAGGAUGAACAAGGCACUUGGAGCCCCUUCACAACUGGAACCUCCACUGCAGGCACAAGGCUGGGCUGGACUGGGGUCUCCUCCUCUCCAUGACAGCCUUGGGCAACCUGGAGCCCGCCACUGCCCCUCCCCAGGUGCUGUCCCCUUGAAGCUUCUCCCAACGGUUUAGUAUUGUAGAGUUGGCACAUCUCACGUGAACAAGAACAGCCAUCACUGAAACGAAUGCUCAGAGCGGACCGGCGUUUUUUCCCAGCCACCCUGGGGUGAGCAUGGCUCACGUUGCACACCAGGAAGCCCAGGAGCGGGGAAUUGAACCAGUUCCAUCCAGUCCCUGGCAAGGGACCACCCUGUGUCCGAAGGCCACGUUCAUUUUUCAGAUUGCAGGAAAUGGCUCAGCCUGAAGUUCAAGUUUUCCUCUGAGCUCCUGUUGAUUAAUGUGGCAAAGAGAGCAUGCUGUGGAAUAUGCUGGCAGAAAUGUCAGGAUUGCUAAAGCGUUUCACUGCAAAUGCUCAGGCUGGUGGGGAGGUGCCUUGGCACAAUUCUGCAGAGGGUAUUUGGCAAUAGCAACAAAAUCACAAAGGCACAAACCCUGUGACCCAGAAACACCAAUUUCACGGUAGGAGCUGCUGCCGCAGGGGUUUGCCCAGAGCACAGGGAAAGAUGUGCUCACUGUACUCGCUGGGACAAGCAAGAGAUUGGAAAGAGCUCAGUGUCGUCAUUCAGGGUGUCUCCUGUGUCUCCUGAUCGCUAUAAGGGGUUCCAGGCUGGUCCCCGGGGGAGGAGCUCCUGAUCAGACGCAGGCCCUGCCCCCUCCCCAGCACAGAGCUGGUGAAGGAAGUGGACAUUCAUUCAUUCAGGAUGUUCUGAGUAUUUCAGCACCACCAGGCCCUGGGAAAUCAAGGUCUCAGCAGAUGACGGUGGCAGUUUGAUUUUUGGCUGAAUUGUCCUCUACAGCAGUCACUGGGGGUUGCGUUUUUCUCACACUGCCCAGUCAUGCAGCACACGGAAGCCAUCCAUAUGCCAUGGGAAAAUGCUUUGUCUCCUGCCUGGGCGCCCCCCGAGCCAGUGAGUACAGUCCUGCCUAGUGGCAAGGUGAGUGUCCUGUUCCCAAGUCAUGAAAAUGCUCUUCACUGGGGCGGGUCUGCCGAGUUGGGAAGGGCACUUACGGUUUAAACCGAGAGACUCUCCCUGCAUUUGAAAUGAGGACAUAGAGUUCUUUUUCUCUUUUCUUUUCUUUUGUUUUUUUGAGACGGAGUCUUGCUCUGUCGCCCAGGCUGGAGUGCAGUGGUGUGGGGUGAUGGGGCAAAUGGGGCAGGGCGGCCAGGUGGGGCCAGGCGGGCAUCUCCCGAGGAUGAUCCUGGAGGUCAGCUGCCCGGUGUGGGUGGCCAUGACCUUGGUAGCCUGUGACCUUGGUGGCUGUGAGCUUGGACGAGAACAUUUUCUUCUGCCAGUGCAAUGCCUAGAGAGGCAGGCCACUGAGGGCUGGGGCAGUGAACCCCGGGGACAUCGCGUUGGGGAGUCCUGCCGUGAUAGAGGGCCCCUGGGCACCACAGUGCAGCGUGUACUCCACCGUGGCUGCUGGAUGGCCACCCAUGGGCAGUGGAGCUGGGGCAGGGAUGGCAUUCCAGGUCUACAAAGUAGGGAGAGUGACGGCCCAAAGGAGCGAGGGUCCAGGCGAGCCGCACACGGAGGAGCGAGGGUCCGGGCAGGCCGCACAUGGGUCGGAGGCUGCAGAGCCCAUGCUGACGGCGCACACCAUGGGCUCGGCCUGCUGUCCCUAGAAAGUGUGGGGCAGAAAGAACGGAUGCACCUGUGUGCUCCUUGCUGGAAGUGGCAGGGGGCUCUUCCCAUGCUGGAUCUCCGGACACUCCCCUUGGCGCUCUGCCUGGUGGUCCGCCGCUGCACACGGGACACGGCAGGCUCCGUCCCCUCGGCGGCCACUCUGUCCCCUUUUAAGGCAUGUCAGAAACAAAGCCCUGGACGGCUGUGGCUGGGUUGGGCGUUCGCCCCAGUCCCUUUAAGCCCUCUGGGAAGGGUGGGAAGUUUCCAAAACUUCCCGUUAUCCACACCAAGCUCCUUGACCAGAGUCCAGUAAUGGGACGCUGGCAGUGCCCGGAUGCCCCGAUACAGGCAGGAGAGGCACCGUACUGGGUUCAUCCAAGGCCAGCUUAGGUCCUGGGAGCUAGGACGACCAGAGAGGAGAAAGGCAAGGCAGGGACAUGGCACUGAGACAGAAGAGACCACCCCCAGAACAGAGACCCCCGAGAGGGCAGAGACCCCGAGACAGCAGAGACCCCCAGAGGGCAGCAAUCCCAAGAGAGCAGAGACCCGGAGAGGGCAGAGACCCCAGGAGGGCAGAGACUCCUCAGAGGGCAGAGAACUCUGAGGCCAGUGACCCCCAAAAGAGCAGAGACCCCGUGAGAGGCCAGAGACCCCAGAGAGGUCAGGGGCCCCCGAGAGAGAGGGCAGAGACCCCGUUCCUUGUUUUUCCUUGUUUGCCACCUUCAAUGUCAUUCUUGCCCUCCCUCCCCCGCCGAGUGGGGGACUGUGGUGGCCUUAGCUACCCUCACGUGGCUUUAGGACCCUCAGAGCAUAACUAAGCCCCCGAAGGCUCUGGUCUUCCAACAACAUGAUCUUUAGGAGGGCAAAGCUCCUGCGGCUCCUGUGGGCUGGCAUUGUGACUGCCCUGGGAGGUGGCAGGUGUGACUCGCUGUCCCUGGGGAGGCGGGACCCCCCUGGGCACCUCUGCAGGUGCGAAUCGGGGGUGGUCUUUCUCUGCGUGGCUGCAUGGGGUGAGAGCCUCUGUCCCAGGGCAGGUGUGGGGACAGGCCCUGGUGGAGCGUGCGGGCCGGCUGGAGCUGGGGUGCCCGGAACUGUGGUUUGUGCAGGCCCAGGAGCCUCUGUCCUCGUGUGAUCUUUGUGCACUCAGGACUUCGAGUCACACCUGGAUUUGGUGAAGGGCUCCGGUUUUAGUUCCAGCUCUGGUAGCCACACCUCUGGGAUCACGGGCAGGUCACACUCCCUUUCCCAGCCUGUUUCCCCAUCUGUACGACGUGCAUCCUCCUGUCGCGAGGAUGUGUAGGUGCAAGAGACGUCCACCUCACCUGGCCCUGUCUGCAGGCAUGAGGCUCUGUGAGGCGGGGCCCUCCCUGGGGACUCUGUGGGGAUGAGGCCCUCACCUGGGGACUCUGUGAGGGGGGACCCUCCCUGGGGACUGUGUGAGGAUGGGGAUGAGGCCCUCACCUGGGGGCUCUGUGGGGCUGUGCUGUCAGCUGGGUGAGGGGAGUCCUGGCCAUGGUAACAACAGGUCCAGGAGCUUGCCCCUUUGCCCAGAACAUUCCUCCCAUCUGCCCCCUCCAGGCCUCAGCUUCCACGCCUUUCCCUCCAGGGGACCUCCUCUUCCUUUCCUAGUUCCCCCACCUCCCUCCAUAUUCACCCGUGCGCAUGCCGGUGAGCGGGCGUCCAGGCUGGAGUGCCAGCGUCUGGGUCUGGGUCCCGGUCCUCAGGCUGGAGUGCCGGCAUUUGGGUCCCAGUCCUCAGGCUGGAGUGCCGGUGUCUGGAUCCCGGUCCUCAGGCUGGCGUGCCAGUGCCUGGGUCCCGGUCCUCAUGCUCCCUACACCAUGGCUGUCUCCUGAUGUUUUUGGCUGACUCUCCCUGGAAGCAGAAUGAGGCCAGGGUUGAUGUGGAAGCUGUUCAUUUCUUUGGGAGGUGACCCAGGAAGACAGGGAGUAGGGAAGGGGAUGCACCUGUAAGGGCUGAUGGCUUAGUGCCCCUGCUGAGCACCCUCCAGUGACUCCCCUGGAGCGGGGAGGAGGCUGAGUAUUUAUCCAACUCCUGCCUGUGGGGGUAACAAACGAGGCCGCUCUGGGGGUGCGACUGCCUGAUAGCCGGCCUGCCCCAGCCCAGGCAGAGAGCCCUGGGCAGAGCCCCCUAUUGCCGCCAGUGUCCUUUCCUAGCGGUCAUUCUCACUGCUGUACUUGCAGCGUGGUGGCCCAGUCACAGGCCCUCCCUACCCCCAGGGUUCUGCCCCAUCCUGACAGGGCUGGCCAAGAGCCUGGCACUGGGGCCCGAGAUGAGACCUCAGUGCCACAUAGUGACUGGGGUGGGGGACCGACCAGAGUGGGUGGGAGGCAGGUGCUUUCUGAAGUGUGCCUGGCCUAGCCUUUGUCCAGCGAGCUCUAGACACAGCUGCUGACCCUGAGGGCUCCGGCACCUGCCCUUUUGCCCAGCUGCAGACUGGCUCUCGGUGGCCAUGGGCCUUGAACCAGGUCAGAUGAUGGGGGUUGAGCUGACAGGGCCUUGCUCCAGGCCCUGGGUAAUUGGCUGGGGUCUGGGCCUGGCUGGGGGUGUCCCCAGUGGCUCUGCUAGUCACCUGGUUAGUUGGCCUGGCAGGAUGAGAAGCGGCUGGUCUCACAGACCCAAGGAACGAGCCCUUCCUGGUGAGAUGGGAGGCCCUAUGCAGGCUGAAUGUGCCCGGGUGUGAGCACUUGUGUGUGUGCACUCAUGUUCACAUGCCAUGCCUGUGUGUGCGUGCAGGCAUGUGUAUAUGCAUUUGCCUGUGUGUGUGUGAGUUGAGUGUAAAUGUGUGCAUGUGGGUGCAUGUAUGUGCACAAGUGUGCCUGUGUGUACACAUGUGUGUCUGUGUGUAUAUGCAUGUGCUGGCACAUGUACAUGGGUGUGUGCCCAUGGGUUCAUGUAUGUGCACAAGUGUGCCUGUGUGUACACGUGUGUCUGUGUGUGUAUGCAUGCGCUGGCACAUGUGCAUGCUGUGUGCAUGUGCAUGGGGUGCCUGUGUAUACGUGCACGUGUGCUGGGGAGGGCCCACUCACCACGUGCUGCGGGCGCCCUGCGGGUGCCAGCCCCUCCUCGUCUGCCUUGCUCUCCUGCCCUGCCUUGGCUCCCUGCCUUCCCCUCACCGGUUCUCUCUCUGCUUGGCGUCAUUCCUUUCAUAAAUUCAGCCUGGCCAUGGUUUCCAUGGUGCUCUGAUAAAAACUGGAAUUCCAGUCAUAAUUGCAGGGAGUUGGGGAGCUGGGAGAGAGGGUGGAGGCAGGAGGGAACAUUUUCUAUACAGGAAGCUCAGGUCUCAAUGGCUGUGGCUGGUUUUUCUUCCUUCAGAGGUAUUUAGAGUGUAUAGAAUUCUCUCUCAAGAGCUCCCCUGUUGCCUCGCGAUGGCGACGGGCCGGCACUGUCCUCCUGGGUGGGCCUCCUAGCCGAUGGGCUUCUGUCUCUGUGCUGGAACAGGGCGGAGCUCGGCAGACCUGCUGGGUGGGGAGGGGCUUGACCCGGGCUCUGGCUUCAGGGGACUGGAGUUCAGGGGUGCCUGGGGCAGGCUGCCCGGCCAGUGUCCCCAGAUCUCCCGCUCCAUGACUGAGCUGGAAUUCCAUGGUUGUAUUUCCAUUCCUAUGAUGUUGUCGUCAAUGUCAGUGUUCCUCCGGUUGGGGUGCAGUGAUCUCCUAUGCCCUGGAGUGAACGGGGGUUGUGAGAAUUCCUUGCAGGGGCUGGGGCAGCAGAGCCCCACACCCUCCGUUCUGUGCCAGCCAGGGGGGUGCCGAGUCAGCCAGGUCCCGAGGAGCACUGAGCAGAUGAAUGAAUGAAUGGAUGGAUGGAUGGAUGGAUGGAUGGGAAGGUAUAGGGAGGUGGCUCUCCCACCCCAGGGCGCAUCUGACUCUCCUGGAUAAGUCGUUAACAUGCAGAUUCCCAGGCCACCCUACCUUCUGAUCGCCUGGGGCUCAGCUGGGGCCUGGGAAACUGGUCUGGAACAGGCUCCCUGGUGGUUCUGACGUGAGCCCGCCCAUCUGCCUGCCCAGGAGACACAGGGAACAGGGGCAGCAGGAGCACUGGAGGCCUGUGGUUGGGAAAGGGGCUUUCUUCUUUGUCCCCCAGAGGACAGCGUUUGGCUGUCAACAAGGCCCUGCCUCUGCCCUAGUGGCUUGGGGCUGGGCAGGGGGGUUUGGGGGACCCCUCUGCUAUGUGAGAUGGAGGCAGAGGCAGGGAGGUGGGAAGGGGGAUGAGGCAGGGACACACCCGGCGCAGAAGGCACUUCUGUGGGGCUGUCAGCCCUCAGGGGGGUCCUGCCAUGGGGGUGUCUUCUCGUCCUCCUGUGGGGGUGUCCUCCCGUGGGGAUGGGAGGGAGGGCCUCAUCAGCUCAGAAGCAGAUGGUGGCUGGGUUCUUCCUUCCUUCCUUCCUUCCUUCCUUCCUUCCUUCCUUCCUUCCUUCCUUCAACCUUCUUUCUUUCUUUCUUUCUUUCUUUCUUUCUUUCUUUCUUUCUUUCUUUCUUUCUUUCUUCUUUCUCUCUCUCUCUCUUUCUUUCUUUCUUUCUUUCUUUUCUUUUUCUUUCUUUCUCUUUCUCCUUCCUUCCUUCCUUCCCUCCCUCCCUCUCUUUUUCUCUUUCUCUCUCUCUUUCUCCUUCCUUCCUUCUCUCUCUCUCUCUUUUCUUCUUUUCUUUCUUCUUUCUUCUCUUUCUUUCUUUCUCUUUCUUCUUUUCUUUCUUUCUUCUCUAUCUCUCUUUCUCUCUGUCUUUGACAUGGAGUUCUUGCUCUUGUCACCCAGGCUAGAGGGCAGUGGUGCAACCUCAGCUCACUGCAGCCUACGCCUCCUGGGUUCAAGUGAUUCUCCUGCCUCAGCCUCCCAAGUAGCUGGGAUUACAGGUGCCCACCACCACGCUCAGCUAUUUUGUAUUUUUAGUAGAGACGGGGUUUCACCAUGUUGGCCAGGCUGGUCUCAAACUCCUGACCUCAAGUGAUCCGCCCGCUUUGGCCUCCCAAAGUGCUGGGAUUACAGGCGUGAGCCACCGCGCCCAGCCUUUUUCAGUUCUUUAAACGCUGGCGUGUGUGUGGCUGUGGAUCCUACGGGGUGUUUAUGAAGGACGCUUGGUGUGUCCUUGGUCCCCACGCAUCUUACUGCUGCUCCCACCUGCCCACCCGGGAGGAGGCUGACCUUGUUGCCUCGCUGCUCCAGCUCCUUCCUCCUUGGCACAGAGCCCAGGGAUCCCUAGAGAGAGGCAGAACUGGAAAGACCACAGGGACCUCAGGCUGCUCCCGCUUGCUGGGUCUCAGUCAUGAAGAGCCGUGGGUGUGCGAAAAGCCGGGAGAAACCAAGUGGAAGCCAGUCGGGAUGGUGGUCAAUGUAACAAAGACCCCAGAGAAAGGAAAGGGCUGUGGGGCUAGGCGGUCUUCUGGGAGGGAGAGUGGGGGGCUCAGAGGGAAGCACGGAGUGGAAGGAGGAGGGCGGGCAGGAGGAGGGGCAGUGACUGUUCUCUCGGUUGUUGAUCUGGGUUUGCCUCCAUGCCAUGUGGCACCCCAUGAUUUAUUGGGGUGAUACUGAAACUCACCACCAAAUGGUACUUAUUCCUCCCGGCUUUAGGCACAGACUUUCUUACUUUAAGGAGAACUAUGUUGUCUGAAUCCAAUAAUUUUACUUUAAAAAUGUAGCCAGAGUUAAAAAAUAGCUAUUGGCUAACAGCCCGUGUGAAAAUUUGCCGUGGGGAAUGAGGGCGAGGACCUGAAUGGGUGGGUGGGGGAGGGUGCCCGUCAUCCGAGACCACCCAUGCCUUGUGUUUGCUCCUUCACCUCUGCCCUCCCAACCUGCGCCCCAGCCCUGCCCCUGAGCCUGACCAGCGUCCUGGGGUCCCCUGCAGAGCCCACCUUGCUGCGGUCACCCUUUUGGUCAACUUGCCUGGGGUGAGAGCCCGCCACAUCCACCUCUGCCUGGCUGCCCAACCAGCGUUCCUCCCUGGCAUGCUUUCCCCAUGCCCCCCAGGGGGAAGAGAGGAGCCAAAUGGUUCCCAGAGGCUGAAGCAGACCCCAGGAGGCUCUGGGUGUAGCCUGGACAGUGUCUACACAGCUCGGCGUCUGAGGCUGAGGUGGGAGAGCCUGGGCAUGCAGGGUCUCCUGCCGGGUGAGCAUCUCUGAUUUGGGGGCAAAGCAACCCGUACCCUGUCCUUCAUCCCUCUCUGAGCCCCGCAGCCUGGAGCUUCCUCCUGCCACUGCCAUCAGUGGUCCCUACCAGUCCCUGGGGCAGCAGCUUGGCUCUGCCCUCUCACUGCUCCUGGGUCUUGGUGUGCUGGAGGCUGGGUGCUUUUCUCACCUGGCAGCUCCUGGGGAGGCGUGCCCUCCCCAGGAGGGGGUCACGGUCCUUGGGAGGUGGGGUCUUCUGAAGGUCCCACAAUGGCGAGGGCAGAACCAACACCAGCUCCGUGCAGCUCUCCCCCUCCCUGGCGUCCCCAGCUGUGAAACAGGUGGAGCUCGCCUUCGGCCUGUGGGCCUGCAGGGUGGGUCACCGGGAGCACAUGAGGGCUGAUAGGACCAUGGUCUUCAAGCUUAGGGAGGCUGUGGGUCCUUGGCAGAUUACCAGAGCCUUGGCUUCCUUGGCCAGUCAAAUGGGAACAAUGACCUAAGGAUGCUGAGCCCCAGGGCGGCCGGAGGCUCCCUACACACAGCUGGGUUCAGCCAGGGCUCCUAGGUGAUGCCUGGCAGAAUCUGCGCUUAAAGUCCUGUCUCCCAAUCCUCUUCCUCCUCCUCCAGAGAUGCAGUCAGAGAGACAGCCCCCAGCUCCAGGGAGGAAGCAGGGAGAGGGAGGAGCAGGGAGAAGAGAGGAGAGGGAAGAGAGGCUCGGAGGGAGGCUCAGAGGGGAGGGAGCCUCAGACCAGGGAGAGGCUUGAAGGGGAGAGAGGCUCUAGAGUGGAGAGGAGAGCAGGGACCUGGUUGCAGGCAGUGCUAUACCCUGGGCCACCUCCAGAGUGACAGGAGCGGGUGGCACCAGGCUCCACUGUUGGUGGAGGGGGCUCAGACUAGGCCGGGGCAGAGAAGGAGCCGGGCAGCCAGGCAUGAAGCUCAUGAUUGACACCAAUUCCUUAACCUUAAACAUCACGGAGUGUCCAACUCUGGGGACGAAUCGGGGUGUGGACAGGUUCAGGCAGGGAGCCCGUGGAGGGCAGCAGUCGAGGGCCCGGGUACCGCUCUGGGCCAGGAGGGACACUGGCCUGGCCGCCAAGGCCAGAUGCCAAGGAAGGCAGCCUCCGCCUCCCUCCCAGCUCCCCUGACGCGGCCAACCUUGGUCCUGCGGGCCGGGCCCUGAGUGCUAACUUCCACCUUAUCCCACGUCCCAGCUCACAGUGGCAGAGCUGGAGUCCAGCCCAGGACCCUGUGCGUCACCACCUGUGCGCUCAUGGCUGUGCUGUGCUGCCGGGGGAAGAGCUGGCAUCCCCUCUUCACCCAGUGCUCGCCACGCAGCCUCUGGGUGCACAACACAGGCCCCCCAAGGGCUCCACAUGGUGGGUGCCCUCUCCCUGUGCCCACCUUGUGGCCACGCACAGCCGAGGGGAAGCGGGACCCCGAGGCAGCAGGCUCUCCUCGUCCCCAUCCGGCCUCCUCCUGGCUCUGGCUUCCCUCUGUCGGGGGUUUAAGGCUUCCUAGAGAGAGCAGCUGUUGGGUGAGAGGGUCUUCCCGGAGACCCUGCAGCCUCUUCUGAAUCAGGGGCCCAGGAGUCCUCACUCAAGCCAUCCCCACCUCUGAGCUGGGCAGGUGCGGCUCGGAGGGGAAGGUGGGGGACCAUGCCCUUAGGGUGGGUGGGGUUGUCCUGUGUUUCUGCUGUCCUUUGGGUUAAGGUGUGGGGAUCUUUGUUACCAGGAGAUGCUGUGGCCACUAACGCUUUAGCACAGAUAAGGACAGGCUGAGCCUGGUGGGGAUCUGGGGCAGCGCCGCUUGGGAGGGCAGGCGAAGGUGAGUGCUGGGUGCUGGGAGGGAGGGGCCUGGCAGCGUGUGCCAAGAUCCCUUUAGAUGAUCAGGGUUAUAGUUUAUCUCCCCACCCUCACCCAGACCCCUCCCAGCCCUGCUGCCACCUGGCUGCCCCCAAAGGAAGGAGUCCUGAGCCCCCAGGCACAGGAAAACAACACUUAGAGAAUCUCUAAGUGCUGCAGGGAGGUGGAGGCAGGGCCAGAGCUGCUGAGGACGGCCAAGAGGACCCCCUCAGGAAGGGGUGCUCCCUGCCAUCAGGACCCAGGAACCAUGGCAGGCUCCUGACCACGAGGGCCCCAAGGCUCCUCCCCUCUCCCCCUAGGCCCCUACUCAGCCCCUCCAUGGGCGCUCAAAUCCCUCAAGCUCUCAACCCGCCUUCUCCCUCCCCUAUUGCUCCCCUAGCACCUGCCCUUCUCCUCUCCAGCCACUCUGAGCCCCUCAUGUCCCUGGGGAGACCCCUCACUCCUGCACUCUCCCUUGCUCAGGCUCUGCCUCCCACUGGCCCACCUGCCUCCUCCUCCAGGCAGCCUUCCUGGACUGUUCAAGCCCAAGCAAAUGCUUCUUUUGCUGAGCUCCACAGGGUGAGCCCAGCACUCCUAAUCCUGAGGCCCAGGAGGCUUAUGAGAAAGACCCCAGGGCACCACCCUGCAGACUCUGCUGUCACCGGCCUCUUGUGGCUCAGGCUCAGGCAAGCCGGAGAAAAGCUUUUGGUGCCCUAAAAAGGAGCACAGCAGAGAGCCAGAGCCGCCCAACCAGGGAUGGAGAAUGACCCGGGCCUUGGCGGGGGAGAAUUGGAAACGGUGGGUCUGGGAGGUGCCUGGGAACCCUCAUUUUCAGAGCAGAAGCCCUGGGGGUGAGGGUUCAGCUGCAUCUUCUGUCUCCUCAGUAGCCUGCACGGGGCUGGGCCCAGGCCAGAGGCUCAGUACUGCACCCGGGCCUAUCUGUCCACUGCUAAGGCCUCGAUGGGGCCAUGGCCCCCUCCCCCACAACCACAGGACCCCUGGGCUGGCUAGAGGGGGCCAUGGAGAUCUGAGCUGAGCGGUCAUGGGACCCCGGGCUCCCCGCUUCACUGAGCGUCCUCUGUGUUCAGCUCACAGAUCAGGAGACUGAAGCUCAGGAGACGGGCCAGCUUCCGGGGCCACAUCAUGACCUGGCCGCAAGCUAGUGAUACGAGAUCAGGUGUCGUGGGUGUGUCUGUGGUGCGUGGACACGUGUCCCUACCUACGGUAAGUGCACAGAUAGGAGCAUCAAGACAUCAACGGGAAAAGCCGACUUCAGUCACAGCCACAGACCCCGCCCCAGAGACCCCACGUCUACCGAGGGUCUAGGGCAGUGGGGCAUCCACUCUGCCCUCUCUCAGAGCACCAUCCUGAGAGACACCAUUCUGUCUGUUCCGGGGUGGAUCCUCCAGGACAGUCUCAUCCAGCUGAGAGGGCGGAACGACCACAUCUGUUCCUUAGAUGGGGAAACCGAGGCUCAGAAAUUAUGGCCCAAGGUCCAGGAGCCCCAGAGAAGGGUCUGAGGCUGCCCUGUCUGGCUCUGAGUCCAGGUCCUCGUUCAGAGCCCAGCCUGAGGGGCCUUAGCAUUUGCUAGACUCUGAGCCCACUCCUGAGCAGGGGUAGGGGCUGCACUGACCUCUGGACAUCCCUGGCUGGCAGCAAAGCUCUUCCGCCCAGAGCAGACUAUGUCAUGGGGGCUCUGUGGGGGAGGAAGGCCCCUCUGUGCUGGCCCUGUUUCCCUGGGGUUGGUGGCCCUUGGGCACUGGGAGGGCUGCCUGGCUGAUGACCAGGCUUGUGGGGGCAAAGUUUGGCAGGAAGUGCAGCGAAUAGGCCUGACUCCCCUGGGCCCUGUUCUUGGUGAGCCGAAGGGUCCUGUGGUUGGAGAGGGAUUUUGUGGGGUUCAAGGAACCCGUCAACUCAACAGCCAGAUCCAAGCGACUGCAGAUACUGUAGCAUUCGACUCUCAUUUCUCAGACGGGGAAACUGAGUCCAGAGAAGGCAAAGUGGCUGAACACAGCCCAAGACCAGGUGUCCGGGUCCUGGGUCGACAUGGCCGGUGCAGGCAGCCAGCCCAGAGCCCAUUUCCCUGGGGCAAAGGCUGCUCUGAGACAGGGAAAUCCCUUGAAGAAAAGGCUGACUUUUGCUUCCUGUGGCUCCCAGCUCCUGGCUGGUCCCGGCCAGCUUCUCCUGGGACUGUCUUCUCUUAGGCUUAGGCGACCUUCUUAAGCCAGGGGCCUGGCUAGUCAUGUGCUCUGUGGAGCCUGGAUCCUAGAGACCAAGGAGGCGCCAGCUUUUUCAACUGCUUGGAGGCCGGGGCCAGGGCUGCCGCCGCCAGAAGGUGACAAAUGAGUCUGUGCCUCAGCCCAGGGCUGCCGGCCAGCGGUGCCUGGACACACCGCUCCUUCUCACCUGAAGCCUGAGUUCCUGGGACCUGGCAUCUUACUCAGAGACCAGGCACCAUCGCCCCUGUCCCACAUUCCCCUUCUCAAGGCCCCACCCUGAAGCCAGCUCUGGGCCUGGCUCCAGACCUCAGCCUGCACAGCCACAAGCAAAGCACACGGAAUGCGCACCCCAUCCUGGCCACGGCCACUCGGGCAGGUGCUGGAGACCAGGCCCCUGAUCCGGCGUCCCUUCUGCCGAGCCCGAGAGGCCACAGCUGAAGAUCUUGAGGCUGAGGCCUGAGCCCCCUCCCAUGUGGUGUCCUGGCAGAGCCCCUGGGCCUUGGCCUGGGUGAGGAUGGGAGGGAGGAGGGGAGGCUGGGGUCUGGGCCAUUCCAGGCCAGCCCAUUUUUGUCCUUUUUGGGCUUGUGGUCCCCUCUGGGGGCUGCAGCUGCCUGCGGCGAGGGUGGUGGGAGGGACUCCCCACGGCGAUGGGCCCCCAGCUUGCCAGGCCUGAAGGGGCGAGUCAGGGAGCUUUCUUGGAGCUGCCUGGGGGAGGGGGGCAUGGGUCUGCAUGGCAGGGUCUGCACGUGAGGCCCAAAGCCACGGAGCCUGCGGGACUGGGGCUGGACUCCCCGAGCUAGACAGAGGGGGUGCAGGCCUCAGAGAUGUGGACAUGGGAACAGCAGCCGGGCCGCCGGAGGCCCGGCCCCACCCAGCACCUUUCAUUUCCUUCUCUGGAACCAUCCAUUAGUCUGAGAACAAAGAAAACUGCCUUUUGCCGCACACUAAUUUCUCCUUGUUAGAGGCCCUUUUCCUAUCUGGGAGAGGAGCGCUCUCUUGUUCUGGCUUUCAAAGAGGAGAUGGGGGAGGGGUGGGGAGGAGUUGGGGACAGGCCCGGGAGACACUAAUGAGAAACAUGGGUUAGGGGGUGGGAGGGGGGGGUCCCAGGCCUCAGACUCCAGUGCAGGCUGGCCUCUGCCUGACCCCCAUCAAGGCUCCCGGGUGGGGGCUGCUCUGUCUGUCGGGGGCAAGGACCCAUGGCCAGGCUCCUCCUGGACACGUUCCGGGGCGCACAGCCUAGUACAGCGUCUCGCGGGUGGCAUUGCUGGAGAGGGUGUGGUUGCUGGACACGCUGUCGGCCUUCCUCGAGAAGGCUGGCCUCUUCCUCCUGCGCCGCCACACCGGGCAGAGGCAGGCCAGUGUGGCCAGGAAGAUGUGGCGGAAGUUGGCAGAGACGAGGUUGUACAGGAUGGGGUUGAUGGUGGAGCUGACGUAGAAGAGUGCGUUGGUCACCAUGUAGAAGUAGUGGUAGAAGUCAUAGAGGAACCUGCGGGGAGAGAGAGGCGCUCAGAUCCCAGAGAGAACUCUUGAGGGCCCCAAGGCAGGGUGACAGCCGGGGCCACAGCGGCUGAGGGACGUGGUGGCUCAGACGCUAAUUAAAACACCCCUUGAGAAUGGUUGUUUGGGGACAUUUCAUAACAAGCUCCAGGGUCUGGCUUCUCCUGAGCAGCUGCAAGUUCUCGUCGUGCUCCCGCCCAGCCUGGGCUGCUGCUGCUUUUUUUUUUUUUUUGAGACGGAGUCUCGCUCUGUCUCCCAGGCUGGAGUACAGUGGCGCGAUCUCGGCUCACUGCAAGCUCCACCUCCCGGGUUCACACCAUUCUCCUGCCUCAGCCUCCCGAGUAGCUGGGACUACAGGGACCCCCCCACCACGCCCGGCUAAUUUUUUGUAUUUUUGGUAGAGACGGGGUUUCACCGUGUUAGCCAGGAUGGUCUCGAUCUCCUGACCUCGUGAUCCACCCACCUCAGCCUCCCAAAGUGCUGGGAUUACAGGCGUGAGCCACCGUGUCCCACCCAGCCUGGGCUUCUUUAGGUGGAGCGUGGGCUCUGCUUGUCCAUCCCUGCCUCUCCUUGCAGCUGCCUGCAUUGCCCUUCGCAGCUCUGUGCAUCCAAGGGUCCAGGGCUUGGCUGGUCCCGGCCUAACCAAACAGCCAGGGCAGUAACCCCCUCCACACCUCCCCAGCAGCCACACACCUUGCCCUCAGCUUGUUGCCUCCCCCCACAGUGAUCUCACUCCCUCACCAGGCAGCUCAAUUACUACCAGUCAGCCCUGAGUUUCAGAAGCUUUUGCAGGGGCCACACUCUGUUCCCCGUGCCUUCUCCUCCUCAUUGGUCGUAGGUGCGCCCUCCCUGGUGGUUGUCACUGGAAGGAACCUUUUAUUCUGGGAUCUGGCAGCCCCACUGCACAGAAAAGGGUUCACAAGUGGGCCCCAAGCUGCCAUCUCAGGAUGGCCAGCUGGCAAGGCUGGCCUCUGGCUGGUGCCUGGGGCCUUGGAUUUUGGGAAGGCUCUGCCAUUUUUGGGUGAGAAGGGCUCCCUGCCCCUGAACUGUUGGUGCAAACAGUAGGGGUUUUGCCAGGCAGUGGGUGCCCCUGUGAUCGGCCCCCAUAUCGUCCUGUGAGGCUCCUCUGGGAGGGGGCCCUGGAAGCUGCAUCUGGUCUUCCGCUGACCCCACUCCAUGUGUCUUUUCCCUUUGCUGACUUUGCUGUAUAAGCAAAGCUUUGUCAGUAUUGGUGCUCUUGCUGCGAUAAGUCACAGCCCUGAGUAUAACUCCAGGCUGAGCCCUGUGGGUCCAACCUGGGUGGCCUUGGGGCUCUGACAGCUGCCAUAUGAGGAGGUGACACCCCCACCAUGUCCCCAGCAGAGCCAGGGAUGUCUCUCUUUCACCUUCGGGAAACUGCCUGGGCCAUCUCUCUUAGGACCAACUUUCUUUCUCUGCACCAGUCUGGCCUGAAUAGCCCCUGCCUUGAACCUGUCCCUCCAUGGCCUUCUCCCGGCCCCAGUCACAGCACAACCCUGCCCAGGGGGUCGCCGGGGGACUCACCACACCCCUGCCCUGAGUGGAUCCCCUCAGCAGUGCCUGCCACACCCACCAUCUGUUUUGGGAGCACUUACUUGUCCAGCACCCAACUUCCUGGUUCCCGGUACUCACGGAGUCCACUGCUCAUCCGAGAUGUAGCAGAACAUGAGGCGCCGCACGUGGUAGGGCAGCCAGCAGACCACAAAGGCGAUGACCACUGCACCUGAGGCACAGAGACGUGGGCUCAGAGACCCACUGCACCUGAGGCACAGAGGCGUGGGCUCAGAGACCCACUGCACCUGAGGCACACAGAUGUGGGCUCAGAGACCCACUGCACCUGAGGCACAGAGACGUGGGCUCAGAGACCCACUGCACCUGAGGCACAGAGACAUGGGCUCAGAGACCCACUGCACCUGAGGCACAGAGACGUGGGCUCAGAGACAGGACAUGGGCUCAGAGACCCACUGCACCUGAGGCACAGAGACGUGGGCUCAGAGACCCACUGCACCUGAGGCACAGAGGCGUGGGCUCAGAGACCCACUGCACCUGAGGCACAGAGGCGUGGGCUCAGUGGGGGAGACAUGGGCUCAGAGACCAGACACAAGCUCAGAGAGGGAGAGACGUGGGCUUGGGGAGGGAGCAUAAGCUCAGAGACAGGACACAGGCUCAGAGACAGGACACAGGCUCAGAGAGGGAGAGACAUGGGCUGAGGGAGGUAGACACUGGCUCAGAGACAUGGGCUUAGAGACACAGAGAUAUGGCCUCAGAGAAGGAGACACGUGGUCUGAGGGAGAUGCAGGGAGACAUCCCAUGUUCAUGGAUUGGAAGAUUUAAUAUUGUUAAGGUGUCAGUACUACCCAAAGCACUCUACAGAUUCAAUGCAAUCCGUAUCAAAUUUCAAGAAUGCUUUUGGCAGAAAUAGAAAAAUCUGUGCUAAAAUUCAUAUGAAAUCUCAAAGGAUCCCGGACAGCCAAAACAAUCUUGUAAGAAAAUAAAGUUGGAGGUCUUACACUUCUUGAUUUCAAAACUUACUACAAAGUUACAGUGUGGUGCUGGCAUAAAGAUAGACACGUAGACCAAGGGAAUAGACUAGAAAUCUCAGAAACGAACCCUUACCUUUAUGGUCAAGUGAUCUUCACCAAGACCAUUCAGUGGGGAAAGGACAGUCUAUUCAACAAAGGGUGUUAGGAAAACGGGACAUCCACUUGUAUGAAGGUGGAUCCUCCCCUCACACCAUAUACAAAAAUGGACUUGAAGUGGAUUAAAGACCUGAACAUAAGAACUAAAACCAUAAAACUCCUAGGAGAAAACAUAAUUACUUUACAACAUUGAUUUUGGCAAUGAUUUCUUGGGUAUGACACCAAAAGCACAGGCCACAAAAGAAAAAAGUAGAUAAAUUGAACAACAUAAACACUGAAUUUCUGUGUAUCAAAGGAUGCCAUCAGGAGAGUGGAAGUCAGCUCACAAAAAAGGAGAAAAUAUUUGCAAAUCACAUCUGAUAAUGAGUUAACCUUGAGAGUAUAACUCCUAAAACUCAACAUGAAAACAAACAAUCCAAUUCACAAAUGGGCAAAGGACUCAGACAUUUCUCCAAAGAAGAUACAAAUGGUCAACAAGCACAUGAAAGAUGUUAUUAAUCAUUAAUCUUAAAUCACUGGAGAAAUGCAAAUCAAAACCACAACGAGAUGCCACCUCAAAUCUAUUAGGAUGGCUACUAUUAAAACAACAGGCACACACUGGGACCAGGACACACCUUGGAUGUUGGCAAGCCAGCCGUCCUGAGCUGGGGCUGGUCCUCAGGGUUCCGAUAGGAUGGGCGUUGCCCUGCUGUGGGCUUCGCCAGCCCUGAGAGCUCCGUGUCCAAAGCCCUGGCUGGUUCCCAUGAGCAGGGAAGGCUGAGCCCAGAGCCAGGCUCUCUUAGGGUAAUGUGCUUGGCUAUGGGCCUCUCCUGUGACUGGCCACACCCUCAAACAAGCCCUGAAAAUGGGCCAGCACCAGGGAGGAGCUCAAGCCAAAUGCUUCAGGCAAACCAAACUGAAGACCUGGGUCUCAGGCAUGAAAGGGCUUCAUUCUCUCCAGUUCCCAUCACACUCUCCAAGCCCUGUGUUGUUGGCAGCGUCUGCCCUGCCCCUGCCCCGCCUUCUUGCCAAGCACCUCCCACCACAGGGCCUUUGCUCCAGCCAUCCCCUCGCCUGCAGCUCUGUUGCCCAGAUGGGCUCCUGGUCCUUGGGACUUGCAGGAUGCCACCUGCUCUGAGAGCCCCUCCCAGCUGCCAGAUGUAGUCAGGGGUGGUGGUGGUGGUAUUUUUUUCUUCAUGCUCAUCACUGGCUGAAGGUGCCUGGUGCCUGUGUUUGUGUCCUUGGUGGAGCCCCUGUUCCCCCAGAGUGCAGGGAUGCCCCUGCCUCUGCUGCCUCCAUGCCUGUGAGCAAGAAUAGGCGAGACCCAGGGUGGGCACUCAGCCAACUGCUGAGCAAAUGAAUAAGUGAGCACGUGAGCAAGUGGACAGAUGGACAGAGAGAUGGAUAGAUGGAGGGAGGGAGGAAUGGAACAAGGGAGGGAAGGAGGGAUGGAAGGAGGG
rnacentral:lncRNA from 1 species